UUACGGUCAAAUCACGCUAAAAACACCGGUUCUCGUUCGAUCACCGAAGUUAAGCAUCGUAGAGCCAGGUCAGUACUUAGAUGGCGGACCGCUUGGGAACACCUGGUACUGUAAG
rnacentral:rRNA from 1 species